AAAGCUGAGCUGAAUAGUUCACCAAAGGAAAGGUCCAGCCAUUGCACUGCAGCUGUGCUGAUCCCUGCGAAUUCCCCAAAUGUGAGAAUCUCGACUGCAUGAUUUCUGGUAGUGGGGGACUGCGUUCGCGCUCUCCCCUG
rnacentral:snRNA from 1 species